AAUAAGCAAGAACGGAGGUUUAAAGACAUAUCUCUGAAUUUGACUAUCAAAAUACAGUUGUAAACAUUAAAAGAUAAUAUUUAACAUCUUUAUAAUGACAAAUGCUGUUAUAUAUAGAUAAAUUGUAUGACAAUAUUUAAAAGCGGAAUCAAAAUUAAUGUUAUAAUUAACGUCACGCGAGGAUCUUGCAAUAAGUUCUGGCAAAAGUAGGCUUCGUGGUCCUUUCUUCCAGAUAACCUAAAGCUAAAGAUAUUCGCUUACAUCAUUAAAAUCGCUUUUAAAAUCACGAUGGUGCCCGUUUUGAAGGCCUGGGACCUCUUUUGUGAAUGCAAACAUGACUCUUGUAAAAGUUGUGGUAUGUGAUUGCCGGUUAAUGAAAUAUUAAAAUUUACUGACAUCAGAAUCCUGUGUGAAAACAAUCGUGAAGAAUCGUUUGCGCCAUUUGGUUGUCACAUUUGCUUACUUAGGAGAGCAAAUGGAGAUUCAAAGGCUAAAAAUUUAGGUUGUUUAAAAGACAAAAUUCGAUAACAAAUAAGGAAAUCUGAAUGAACAUAUAUGAACCACUAAGAACAGCUCUUGAAAAGGAGUGCGACUGUAAAAUGCCAUGAGAAUUGUCAAUCCGAAAAAGAAAUACGCAAUUUUCAAUUAGCAGACCAGUUGUUGGCAUUUAAAGGAUUGUAAGGGUGCGGUUAUAUUAUACAGAACAACGACUCUUUUCACAAGUAUGACAUUGGAAAUUUUCCUAACCGUUUCAUUUGAAUGUCUAUUUAAAAGAAAAUGCUUUUAGGAGGAAAACUAAAUCAAAAAGUUCUCCUGAAAGUACCAUUUUUCAUUUUCUCAAAAAGAUACCUACAACAAUAAUUAUAAAAAAGAAGAAAAAAUGCAGUUAAGGGCGAAUACUUUGGAUGUUUGUUAUGGGUUUUUUAAUAGCACCUAGCAUUUUAGAGAACCGAGACAAAUAUUAGAACUUUUUGCAAGACCCUCUUGUGGUCGAUAACCACCGCACAAGGAAACCUGCAACAAUUUGCCAUCUGUGUUAAGAAAAGCAUUUCGCAGCAUUUAGGUCGUCUGCUACAUAUCACUGAGUCUGUCAAAGAUUCUUUGAGUAAUAUCAAAUAAAAUUCAUAGGAAAAGUAACCAGUCAUUUACUUUCCUUUACAUUUUCAGUAACACAUACUGUAGUACAUGUACAUUGUAUACAUGUAUAUUUCAUUAACAUCUAUAUCAAAAUUAUUUUCAUCAAUGAUAAAAACACUUCUUCUUUUAAGUAGAAAUGUGUGUCCUGUAUCUAUACAGAAAAAUAUACAGUGUAUAUACAGAUAAGUGAACACAAUCAUAACCAAAAACACAUUUAUACUAAAACAGUAAUAAUAAAAUAAAGCGUAAAAGCAAAAGAAAGCAAAAAGCUGUUUAAAAAGAUGAAGAUUUUUUUACGCAUGUACAUUGUCACAGCGAGUACACUUGUUUAGCAUAAUAACAGUCGGUCCAAUUUAAAGACACAUAGACGACACAAAAUAUGUUAAUUUAAGUCCCAUCAAUGUAAAAAAAAAAAAACAACGUAAUACAUUAAAGGGACUCCACUGCUUUUUUUAACAUGAAAGGGCAGAGAGUAUUUUUGUAGAACUGGAUGUAGGUCCGGACAAAUAACAACUGGGCAAAAUUUCUGAUCAUUCUCUCACUCCGCUUUCCUGGAUUAAUAAUAAAUAAAUUAUAUUGUGCAAAGCUUUUCACUAAAAUCUGCCAAAAAGUCUGAAAAAGUCGCAUAUAAGAUUUGAUUUUUUUUAUUUAAUAUUAGGUAUAUUUAUACAUUAUUUGUUACAUAGUUUGCCAUUUAAGUUCACAAGUUGAUCUAUGACAUAUUUUUCUUUAAUUUUAUGAUUUUAGGCUAUUGGAUCUUAGUGGAGUUCAUUUAAAGUUUAACAAAUUCAACGGUGACGUUUUAAAAGGUUCCGUCCUCAUACUGGACACUUAGAUAAAGCCAGGUUUAAUAAAAUCAGAACAAUCUUAUCCUGUUUGUAAGGUUUAAGUUCAAACAGCUUUUUGAUAAAAUGUAUUUCUAAUAUUUUCAUGCUAUCUUGCUUUAUACAUUUAACAUGUAGAUUACAUUCAGGCCGUAUGUGUGCGUAUGAGGUCGAAACCUUCCCUUCUUUUCAUAAUCUACACAACAUUGCUAUAAACGUAUUUGCCGCGCAUUUGAAUAAUAUUUGUUUCACUAACCGCGACCUGUGUUCAUGUUUGAAGGAAAACAUUCUUUCCUUCUUCAGUUUAUUAAAUCAACGAUUUCCUAAAAAAUGCACUCUUAACUUGGCAUUGACCCUUCUUGAAUCAUCUUUUUAAAAAUUCCUAAUAAUUUUCGUAAACAAUCUGGCUACUGGAAAGGGAAACAAAUAUAUGUAUUAUUUGUAUUUUCAGCCCAGCUGGGUGACAUAUAGUUGCAGCAUGAAUAUAUGGAAAGCUUUCUAUAAUAACUGUACAGGUAUUUACUUACUUGACGCUGAAAAUAGUAGAAAAUAAUAUGCAUUAACAAACCAAUAAAUAUUUGUACGUUUACUUUUGAUAAAGACCUGGGUGCCGUUUUAGGAACAAUCGUACGCCCAGUCGUAGGUAAGAUUUGGUCUACAAGAUCGCAGUUACGACCAUCUUUGUUGAUAAAACGGCACCCAGCUUUUGCCACCCUUUUAGGAGCAGGCUAAAAACUGCACCUCUUUGCAGUCCGACCAGGCUCUGUAAUGGUGGCUUCUCAUUAUUUCGUAUUCAGAUACCGAAAUCACUAAAAGUUCUAUUGUGGAAAUCCAAAAUCAAAGUAAGUAAUUUGCACUAAACAAAGUCAGCAGGAUACAAUAACAAAAAAUAUAAAAAGAAUAACCUUGCUUUU